CCUACGGGGGGCAGCAGUGGGGAAUAUUGCACAAUGGGGGGAACCCUGAUGCAGCGACGCCGCGUGAAGGAAGAAGUAUUUCGGGAUGUAAACUUCUAUCAGCAGGGAAGAAAAUGACGGUACCUGACGAAGAAGCCCCGGCUAACUACGUGCCAGCAGCCGCGGUAAUACGUAGGGGGCAAGUGUUAUCCGGAUUUACUGGGUGGAAAGGGAGCGUAGGCGGCAGUGCAAGUCAGAAGUGAAAGCCAAAGGCUCAACCAUGGGACUGUUUUUGAAACUGUACAGCUAGAUUGCAGGAGAGGUAAGUGGAAUUCCUAGUGUAGCGGUGAAAUGCGUAGAUAUUAGGAGGAACACCAGUGGCGAAGGCGGCUUACUGGACUGUAACUGACGCUGAGGCUCGAAAGCGUGGGGAGCAAACAGGAUUAGAUACCCGGGUAGUC
rnacentral:rRNA from 1 species